CACACUCCAAGCUCAGCUUGAUGUUGGAUGAUGCGGGAGGCCUAUUUGGGGUCUUCUGCACGUCCGGAACAUGUGGACGUCCGGUCUGUCGAGAAACCACGAGCGUAGCAAGGCAUAACUGUCAUUUCGUUCGGUUGGAACUCCAGCGGGCUUGUCUUUUCUUACUCUGCUAUUCACGUAGUAGUACUUCACGA
rnacentral:misc_RNA from 1 species